rnacentral:rRNA from 1 species
AGCGAACGUUUGCGGCGGGCCUAACACAUGCAAGUCGAACGCACUAGCAAUAGUGAGUGGCGCACGGGUGUGUAACACGUGGGUAAUCAACCCUUCAGCUUGGGAUAACGACUUGAAAGGGUCGCUAAUACCGGAUACGGCGAGAGAGGCUUCGGCAUUUCUCGAGAAAGCCUCGCAAGGGGCACUGAAGGACGAGCCUGCGGCCCAUCAGCUAGUUGGUGAGGUAAGAGCUCACCAAGGCGAAGACGGGUAGCUGGUCUGAGAGGAUGAUCAGCCACACUGGAACUGAGACACGGUCCAGACUCCUACGGGAGGCAGCAGUGGGGAAUCUUGGACAAUGGACGAAAGUCUGAUCCAGCAAUUCUGCGUGCGGGAUGAAGGUCUAUGGAUUGUAAACCGCUUUCUGAAGGAAGACGAAUGACGGUACUUCAGGAAUAAGCGACGGCUAACUUCGUGCCAGCAG